ensembl:lncRNA
UAAGUGAAUUCGAUUAUAUAUAUUUAUAUAUAUAUACAGCAUGAGCAGCUACUGUACUUUUGACUCAUCCAUAACAAGCUCUUAAAGUCGAACCACGUUGCACCGUGUUGAAGAGGAAGUGGUUGUUGAUGUUCUUUCCUGUCGGCGCAGGAGUCAUGGACUUACAGUAGUGGCUCACUGUCACUCUCCUCCUUUGUGUCCAUAUAUCGGGUCGUGAAAUACAGAUCAAGUGCUCGUGUUAUUUAAGAGUGACCAAGAUUACAAGCAUUACUCAUCAGUUUUCAAGCAUUUAUUACAGACAAAAAAAAGGCACGAGAAACGAAUCCAAUUUAUUUCCAAAGGCUUCAGUCAUUACCACUCGUAUUUGACUCUUCUAUUUAUUAAUUUUUUUCAUGAUAAAAAAGCAUCUCAAACACAGUUUUCUUGGAGUGAGGGUCAUGACGUCAUCCCAGUGGUGCUACUUUCUCUGUUGCCGUUUAUCUUGUGAUGUGUCUUUGAGUACACUGAAAAGGUUUUAUUAUUAUUAUUAUUAUUAUUAUUAUUAAUAUGAGUGAAAAGAAGCAUGACUCAAAACCAGCUAAUCCGCUCCCACCAAGCGUGUGAUCCAAAAGUCUGACACCUCUUUUCAUUCAAGGGACUGUGCAGUGUGUGAAACUAUUAUUUUUCAUAAACUCAUUUUUAAUUAAACCCCGUGGUCUGUUUGACUGAAGUGACACUUUCAUAGAAACGACCAUAAGCACUAAAAAGAAAACAAAGCAUUCAUGAAUAUGAACAUUAUUAUUAUUAUUAUUAUUAUUAAUAUGAGUGAAAAGAAGCAUGACUCAAAACCAGCUAAUCCGCUCCCACCAAGCAGUGACAGGAAUGAUAAUUGUGCAAUCACAGUGUGGUUCAAACGACGUCGCCACAUUAAAUCUACAAUCAGGACUGUGGCCGAGUCAUCAGUGUAUUUUUUCUUUCUCCUUCUCCUCAGUCGCCUUUCUGCCACUUUGCGGUGCACACGACCUCGACUGCAACGUCACUCAGGAGGCCGGACGGACGGUUUACCGCCUGCCGCAGUUCAACGCGACCGGAUGUCAUUACAGUUGGACCAACCGGACGGGCCACGUGCUGGCAAACAGCCAUCAGAGGGAAACCGACGAAGUGGUGGUGAAGCAGAGCGACACCACUCUCGCCACCUCCGGGUGCUUGGAGGUGAUUCAGUACGCGCGGUACUGCUCUUCUGAGGGGAUGGAACGCAAGGCCAAAUGCGUCACCAAGUGCAAUGCAGACGCUGGCCUGCCUCUGAACAGCCAUGGGACUCCCGUCAAACUCUGGAUUGCCGCCGUGGUCGCCGCCGUGGUCGCCGCCGUGGUCGCUAUCCUGCUGCUGGUGGCGUUUAUCCUGUUGCGCACAAAGUUGAGAAAGGCCAGAAGUUGUAGACAGCCCGACUCCGGCGAGUACACUGCCAUGAGGAUGCUGAGCCGGCUCCCCCAACAAAGCUAAUGUGGACGCACAUCGGAUGUCAAAGCACCUCUCCUCAUCAAACAGUACUGUAUAUGCUAUAGCAGCCGCGAGUAUGUUCAAGGUUUUUGCACUGUUUACUGUUAAACCCUGACAUGAUUCUAGUAGCAAUGUGCCCUUCUCUGAUUGGAUUGGGUUUUAAAUGGCCAAAAAAUCAUUAGCUCAUCAUUAGAUGCAUUAUUAUUUAGUUAUUUCCCACUGCUGCAAGAAAUCACAUCUGCUUUACUCUCUGUUUUUGCCAAAAUGUUUAUGAAUUUAAUCGUGUUUACAUGAAUGUAAUUUACCGUUCGCUGUCAUGGUGUAGACUUGGGAAUGUGUGUGACAAAUGUUGUGAUACUGCACGCCAAAGUAUCAUGACUAUAUAAGCUUCAUUUUAUUGACUAUUCCAUCUACAUUUCAGCCACAAAACUCAGACCAUUUAUAUUUAACUGGACUUGAGAUACUUAAUACGCCUUUUUAACACCUUGUGGCCUUUUAUAAGUCUCACGUUUUGUGGAAAAAGAAUUUUUUUUACUUGUUCACAUGGUCAGUUAAACCACAGGACCUCUGGGAAAAAAACAAAUGUCUUAAAGCUGGACCAUUUUUAAAGAGUACACUGAUUCUGUAAAACCCUUCUUUUACACAAUGUAUUUAUUAUCUUAUUGAUAUCAUAUAUAUUAUUUGUUUUUAAUGGUGUCAUGGUAUAAAUAAAAGUGUCAUCUGCAUAGAGAUGUACGCUUACUGGUCUAAUCAUCGUACACCAAAGUCAUUGAUAGAAAAAGAAUAAUCUGUUGACAUCACAUACAUCAGAUACGGACAUUCCAGAUCCGCAUGUGGAAUUUUCUUUGUGGCUCAUUUAUGAGCUUUGAAAACGCAGUUGUCACAUUUUAACUCUGACCACAAACAGAGCAGCAUAUCUCCGUCAUCGAGUCUAUGACAUUUGAUUUUUUUUUGCGUAUUUGUAACUGUACUGUUGCGUUGCCCCUCACUGGGUCCCCCACCUCACUCCUCGUUUGCAUACCACUAAAAUCGUUUCACCAAUAAGCUUCACUUACAGUAAACCACAUGAUUUCUCUCCCUCGCAAGACAGAGCGUCGUGUAACUGGCAAUCUAAAAAUAGCCACGGUUUUAUAUUAAAGGUCAGUGAUUCAUGAAUGGAGCAGAACAUCUGACAUGAAAUGCGAUCUCUCGGGAUGAGCUGACACAAGUUCGACCCGCGGACGUGAAACUAACUUUGAUUCAGUGGCUGUUAACAGCAAACUUUCUAGUUUAGGGAAACUUUGGCCUUUGUUUUUUUUUAUUUAUUAUUUCAGUGUUAAGUUGUCUUUUGUGACAUGUCUGUUUUUAAUUCCACACAUUAUUUAUAUUUCUAUUUCAAGAGACAAUAAAAGAAAUACCCUCCUCACGGAAUCCUUUCGUAGGAUCGGGGCUGACCUUCUAUCCUGUUGUAUAUUUUCUUUUACAGGCCAUUCCUAUGAUAUCUUUGCUGUUGCAUUUCCACAGGUACACCAUGAGUUUAUUAUAGGCGUCAUUCCAAUAUGUCACUGUGUCUACACGUGUGAUCCAAAAGUCUGACACCUCUUUUCAUUCGAGGGACUGUGCAGUGUGUGAAACUAUUAUUUUUCAUAAACUCAUUUGUAAUUAAACCCCGUGGUCUGUUUGACUGAGGUGACACUUUCAUAGAAAUGACCAUAAGCACUAAAAAGAAAACAAAGCAUUCAUGAAUAUGAGCAUAUAAAAAGACACUUUUGACUCAAACGCUAGUAAUGACUCAUACGCUAGUUAUGACUCAUACGCAAACUGAUACAUAAGAACAACCCAACAUCAGUGAUUAGCAUGGUUUGGGUUUUGGUGUCACCGCACGAUCCUGAGACAUUUGUCAUACAUGUAGAGCUGCAAUAUAAUAUAUAAUAUAUAUAAUUAAUAUAUAUAUAUAUAAAUUUAGUAAUCGAUUAGUAAUCGAUUGAAAAAAAAAGUCAAUAUUCUCUGAUUUCAGCCUCUUCAACGUGAAUGUGUUCUGGUGUCUCUGCUCCUCUGUGACAGUGAACUGAAGAUCUUUGGUGUGUGGACAAAACAGAAACAUCAUCUUGGGGUUUUGGGGAAAGACGAUCGGCAUUUUUCACCGUUUCAUGACAUCGUGUGAACCAAACAACUGAUUGACUAAUCGAGAAAAUCAUCGUCAGAUGAAUCGGUUAUGAAAACAAUCGACGGUUGCAGCCGCACGUAUGUACGUGCGAAAGUCUGGAGACAUGGAAAGUUCGCUUCCGACACAUCGACAUUUGACAUGUUUUUGUCACGAGGACGUAAUUGUUGCGACGCGUUUUUGAUGCCAACCAGCAAGUUUGUCAGAGCUGAAGAUAUAAAGAGAUAAGAUGAGAUGAGAUCUGCCUUCAUUCAUCCCACAAUGGCGAAAUUUGGACAUCACAGCAGCACAGUGGACAGAAGAACAUAGGAAGACAUUUAAAAAGGCAAUAGGUAUGUGCAAAAUAUAACAGAAAAUAUAAAAAAGGUAUAUAAAUA